UCCAGACUCCUACGGGAGGCAGCAGUGGGGGAUAUUGCACAAUGGGGGAAACCCUGAUGCAGCGACGCCGCGUGAAGGAAGAAGUAUCUCGGUAUGUAAACUUCUAUCAGCAGGGAAGAAAAUGACGGUACCUGAGUAAGAAGCCCCGGCUAACUACGUGCCAGCAGCCGCGGUAAUACGUAGGGGGCAAGCGUUAUCCGGAUUUACUGGGUGUAAAGGGAGCGUAGACGGCGAUGCAAGUCUGAAGUGAAAGCCCGGGGCUCAACCCCGGGACUGCUUUGGAAACUGUAUGGCUGGAGUGCUGGAGAGGCAAGCGGAAUUCCUAGUGUAGCGGUGAAAUGCGUAGAUAUUAGGAAGAACACCAGUGGCGAAGGCGGCUUGCUGGACAGUAACUGACGUUGAGGCUCGAAAGCGUGGGGAGCAAACAGGAUUAGAUACCCGAGUAAC
rnacentral:rRNA from 1 species